rnacentral:precursor_RNA from 14 species
UUUUUUAUGUCGCAUCCCUAAACGGCAUGGUACCCGUUAACUCGAAGAAAGUGUUAAGCAUCAUCUUUCACACUUUCUCGGUUGACGGGUACCGGGCCCAAGUAUGGCUUUAUGGGUCCUCUA